rnacentral:rRNA from 1 species
UAGGGAAUCUUCCACAAUGGACGCAAGUCUGAUGGAGCAACGCCGCGUGAGUGAAGAAGGUCUUCGGAUCGUAAAACUCUGUUGUUAGAGAAGAACACGAGUGAGAGUAACUGUUCAUUCGAUGACGGUAUCUAACCAGCAAGUCACGGCUAACUACGUGC